GACGUAGGAUGCAAGCGUUGUCCGGAUUUAUUGGGCGUAAAGAGUUCGUAGGCGGUUCGUUAAGUCUGAUGUUAAAGAUCGGGGCCCAACCCUGAGAGUGCAUUGGAUACUGGCGAACUGGAGUGCAGUAGAGGCGAGUGGAAUUCCCAGUGUAGCGGUGAAAUGCGUAGAUAUUGGGAAGAACACCGGUGGCGUAGGCGACUCGCUGGGCUGUAACUGACGCUGAGGAACGAAAGCCAGGGGAGCGAAUGGG
rnacentral:rRNA from 2 species